rnacentral:rRNA from 1 species
UACCUGGAUGAUCCUACCAGUAGUCAUAUGCUAUCUCAAAGAUUAAGCCAUGCAUUUGUAAGUAUGAACAAAUUCAGACUGUGAAACUGUGAAUGGCACAUUAAAUCAUUUAUUAUUUAUUUUAUGGUAUCUACUACUCGCAUAACCGUAGUAAUUCUAUAGCUAAUACGUGCAACAAACCCCGACUUCUGUAAGGGAUGCAUUUAUUAGAUAAAAGGUUGACGCGGGCUGCCCGUUGCUGUGAUGAUUCAUGAUAACUCGACGGAUCGUACGACCAUCGUGCCUACCAUGGUGGUGAUGGGUGAUUGAGAAUUAGGGUUUGAUUUUGGAGAGAGAUCCUGAGAAAUGGCUACCACAGCAAAGGAAGGCAGCAGGCGUGCAAAUUCCCCAGUCUUGACAUAGGGAGGUAGUGACAAUUAAUAACAAUACCAGGAUCAAUGAGUUUGGUAAUUGGAAUGAGUACAAUCUAAAUCCCUUAAUAAGGAUACAUUGGAGGGAGAGUUUAGUUCUAGAAGCCGUGGUAAUUCCAUCUCCAAUAGCGUAUAUUUAAGUUGUUGCAGUUAAAAAGCUCAAAGUUUGACUUUGGGAAUGGCCGGCAGGUCCUCCUAUGGUGUGCAUUGGUCGUCUCGUCCCUUCUGUUGGCGAUGCGCUCCAGGCCUUAACUAGAUGGGUCGUGCAUUCGACGCUGUUACUUUGAAGCAAUUAGAUUGCUUAAAGCAAGCCUACGCUCUGUAUACAUUAGCAUGGGAUAACAUUAUAAGAUUUCUGUCCUAUUAUGUUGGCCUUCCGGAUCGGAGUAAUGACUAACAGGGAUAGUCGGGGGCAUUCGUAUUUCAUAGUCAAAGGUGAAAUUAUUGGAUUUAUUAAAUACGAACAACUACGAAAGUAUUUUCCAAGGAAUUUUACAUUAAUCAAGAACAAAAGUUGGGGGCUCGAAGGCAAUCAAAUACCAUCCUAGUCUCAAUUAUAAACGAUGCCGACCAAUGAUCGGAGGAUGUUGCUUUUAGGACUCCGUCGGCACCUUAUGAGAAAUCAAAGUUUUUGGGUUCCGAGGGGAGUAUCGUCCCAAGCCUAAAACUUAAAGGAAUUGACGGAAGGGCACCACCAGGAGUGGAGCCUGAGGCUUAAUUUGACUCAACACGGGGAAAUAUACCAGGUCCAGACAUAGUAAGGAUUGACAGACUGAGAGCUCUUUGUUGAUUCCACGGGUGGUGGUGCAUGGCCAUUCUUAGUUGGUGAAGUAAUUUUUCUUAGUGGUGGUCCAGGACCCUUUCGCGCUUAGGAACUCCAACUGCGACCCUAGGUCAGGCAGGAUUACCCGCUGAGUUUAAGCAUAUCAAUAAGCGGAGGAAAAGAAACUUACAAGGAUUCCCUUAGUAACGGCGAGCAAAUCGGGAACAACCCAGCCUUAGAAUCGGGCGGCUCCGUCAUUCGAAUUAUAGUUUGGAGAAGCAUCCUCAGCAGCGGACUUGGCCCAAGUCCCUUGGAAGGGGGCGCCAGAGAAGGUUAGAACCCCAUUUUGCUCAAACCCUGUCGCACAAUGAGGCACUGUGUACGAGUUAGGUUGAUUGGGAAUGCAGCCUAAAUCGGGCAGUGAAUUCUGUCCAAAGCUAAAUACGAGCGACAGACCGAUAGCGAAAAGUACCGUGAGGGAAAGAUGAAAAGGACUUUGAAAAGAGAGUCAAAGAGUGCUUGAAAUUAUCAGGAGGGAAGCGGAUAGGGACUGGCUAUGCACCCCUGUCGGAUAUGUAAUGGCGACGAGCCGAUCCGUCGAUCAACCCGGGGCAUGGACCAGCGUGGAUUGGGAGACAUCCAAAGCCCGGGCUCUCAAUACGCUCAUGGAACGCUAUCUCCUCGAUUGUGGCAGGCAGCUCCGGUGUGCUUCAGCAUCUGCGAGCUACGGAUUCUGGCCUGUAGGCUCCCUCAUUCAACUCAUCUUGAAAAAUAGAACAAGGAGUCUGACAUAUGUGCGAUUCAACGGGCGAGUACUCGCCCGUAAGGCGUAAGGAAAUGAAUUGGUGGUAUCCCCCUAAGGGGUGCACUACUAACCGACCUUGAUAUUCUAAGAAGGGUUCGAGUGUGAGCAUACCAGUUGGGACCCAAAAAAUGGUGAACUAUGCCUGAGCGGGGCGAAGCCAGAGGAAACUCUGAUGGAGGCCCGCAGCGAUAAUGACAUGCAAAUCGUUUGUCUGACUUGGGUGUAGGUCUCGCGACUGCUUUGUCAAUCCGUGCCACAGAAUCAAGAGCUCCAAGUGGGCCAUUUUUUGUAAACAGAACUGGCGAUGCGGGAUGAACCAAAAGCCGGUUACUGCGCCAAACUGCGCGUUAACCUAGACCCCACAAAGGGUGUUGGUCGAUUAAGACAGUAGGACGGUGUUCAUGAAAGUAAAAAUCCACUAAGAAGUGUGUAACAACUCACCUUAUGAAUAAACAAGACCCAAAAAUGGAUGGCACUUUAGCGCGUGCCCUACACUCGACCGUCGAGGAAAGUUCCAUGCCCCGAUGAGUAGGAGGCCAUCGGUACAGAUAUAGGUGGUAUUACCAAAUAUUCAAAUGAGAACUUUGAAGUCCAAAGAGGGGAAAGGUUCCAUGUGAAUAUAACUUGCAGAUGGGUUAGUCGAUCCUUAGGGUCGGAAAAACCCUGACAGAUAGAGCAUUUUGCGUACUCUAAAAGAGAAUCGGGUUAAAAUUCCUGGACCGAGAAGUGGUGGUCGACAGUAACAUUAGAAAGUCCAGAGACGUCGGCGGAAGCCUCGAGAAGGGUUGUCUUUUCUGUUAAACAGCCUGCCCACCCUAGAAUCGGCUUAGCUGGAGGUAGGAUCCAGUGGCUGGAAGAGCACCGUAUAUUGCGUGGUGUCCGGUGCACUUCUGGCAGCCCUUGAAAAUCCAAAUGACCGAAUGUUUUCCACACCUGUUCGUUAUCAUAGCCUCAUCAAGUCUCCAAGGGGAACAACCUCUGGUCGAUGGAACAAUGUAGGCAAGGAAAGUCUGGAAAAUGGCUCCGUAACUUUUAGAAAAUGAUUGGCACUGAGGGCUGGGCAUGGGGGUCCCAGUCCUGAACCCGUCGGCUGUCUGUGGACUACUCGAGAUGCUCCUGCAGUAAGAGCGGGUCGCUGCAUGCCAGUUUGGGGACGGAUUAGGAACGGUUCCUUCAGGGGCCUUCCCCGCGCGUUGAACAGCCAGCUCAAAACUGGUAUGGACAAGGGUAAUCUGACUGUUUAAUUAAAACAAAGCAUUGGGAUGGUCCCAACGGAUGUUCAAGCAUUGUCAUUUCCGCCCAGUGCUCUGAAUGUCAAAGUAAAGAAAUUCAAGAAAGUGCGGGUAAACGGCAGGAGUAAUAUGAGUCUCUUAAGGUAGCCAAAUGCCUCGUGAUCUAAUUAGUGACGCGCAUGAAUGGAUUAACGAGAUUACCACUAUACCUAUCUACUAUCUAGCGAAACCACAACCAAGGGAAUGGGUUUGGCAGAAUUAGCUAGGAAAGAAGACCCUCUUAAGCUUGACUCUACUCUAAAAGGCGAAAGCGAAAUACCAAUACUUUUAACGUUAUUUUACUUAUUUCAUGAAUCAAAAGUGGAGCACUGCCUCUCUUUUUGGACCCAAGGCUCGCUCUGCGGGCCGAUCCGGGUGGAAGACAUUGUUAGGUAAGGAGUUAGGCUGGGGCGGCAUAUCUUUUAAAAGAUAACGCAGGUGUCCUAAGAUGAGCUCAAAGAGAAUAGAAAUAUUGUGUGGAACAGAAGCGUAAAAGCUCAUUUGAUUAUGAGUUCCAGUACGAAUACGAACCAUGAAAGCGUGGCUUAACGAUCCUGUAGACCUUCAAAAUUUGAAGCUAAAGGUGUCAGAAAAGUGUUACCAUAGGGAUAACUGGCCUGUUGCAGCCAAGCGUUCAUAGUGAAAUUGCUUUUUCAUUCUUCGAUGUCGGCUCUUCCUAUCAUUGUGAAGCAGAAUUCACCAAGUGUUGGACUAUUCACCCACCAAAAGGGAAUGUGAGCUGGGUUUAGAUCAUCGUGAUAUAGGUUAGUUUUACCCUACUUAUGACAGUGUCGCAGUAAUAAUUCAACCUAGUAUGAGAGAAAAUGUUGAUUCACAUAAUUUGUCAUCGCGCUUGGUUGAAAAGCCAGUAGCACAAAGCUACCGUGUGCUGGAUUAUGAUUGAACGCCUCUAAGUCAGAAUCCGGGCUAGAAGAGACGCAUGCGCCUGCUGUCUGCUUGCCGACCCGCAGUAGAGGCCUCGUCCCCCAAGGACACGUGUCGUUUGCUAAGCCACCACGAUGGAAGAUCCACGGUAGCCACCUUGAAGUAUAAUUUCCAUCGACCGGUGGGUAGAAUACUCUGCAGACGACUUAAAUAUGCGACAGGGUAUUAUAAGGUUAAGAGUGGCCUUGCUGCCACGAUCCACUUAGAUUCAUCCCUUUGUCGCUCUGGUUCAUCCCUUCCCAUCCAAUCCAAUCAUUUUUUCGUCCGUCUCCGAAGGAGGUUUGUCCAUCUGUCCUUGAAAAACCCCACUAAGUUUUGUGAGUUCACCUUACCCAAGUUAGCCACUUGUUUUUCAAGUGUCGCGUGCGUUCCAUUCUAAAUUGUUAAGUAUAUGAUAUCAAGUGGCCUUUCGCGCAAAACAACGGUAUCGUAACUAGAGGUUUUCCGCAAUGCAGAGUGUAACUUAACGGUGUUAUGGUGCCUCGGUGCCACGGUUCAACGGUGCCUUUGUGCCAUGGUGUGUUGGUACCAUGGCGCCUUUGUCCCUUGGUUUCAUGGUGCGUUGGUUCCUUGUGCCCAUAGUGAUUUGGGGGAGAAUAUGCCGAUACACAGAUAUCCAACUUGACCAAGACACCACCAUGGUAGGCCAUUAUAUGACCGUAGGCAUUUGUCAUUGGACGUGUCUCUAGCAUUGCACUCGAUGGUUAUAAAAACCUCUAAUUACGACAGGCCUCCAUGCACCGACGUUGUUUUUGGUGUAUCGCUGAGCACUAGAUGUUCUAGGCCGCACGCGCGCUACACUGAUGUAUUCAAUGAGUUUAUAGCCUUGGCCUACACGCCUGGGUAAUCUUUGAAAUUUUAUCGUGAUGGGGAUAGAUCAUUGUAAUUGUUGGUCUUCAACGAGGAAUUCCUAGUAAGCGCGAGUCAUCAUCUAGCGUUGACUAUAUCCCUGCCCUUUGUACACACCACCCGUCGCUCCUACCGAUUGAAUGAUUUGGUGAAAUCUUCGAAUCGCGGUGACGUGGGCGGUUCGCUGCCAGCGACGUCACGAGAAAUCCAUUUAACCUUAUUAUUUAGAGCAAGGAGAAUUCGUUACAAGGUUUCCAUAGGUGAACCUGCGGAAGGAUCAUUG